rnacentral:tRNA from 1 species
AGUUAAAUAUCAAUUGAAGAUUUUAUACUUUGAAAGUAUAAACCAGGAGUUUAAAUCUCCUUUUAACUU